ACCCAGGGAUAUAACUCAGGUCUCCCUCAUUGCAGGCAGCUUCUUUACCAGCUGAGCCACAAGGGAAGCCUAGAUGUUUACCUUUACUUACUUAUAAAAGCUUGGAAAAGUCGUUUGACCUCUGGAGCUUGAAUUUUAUUUCUUUUUAAAAUAUGCAUGAUAACAUACACCUCACAAGACUGUUAAAUAAGUUAUGUGAAGCAAUGCAUUUGAAAAAUACAUCAUAAACUAAGAAUUACAUAUAUAUUAACUUUUAUCUGCACAUAUUUGUUUCACACAGUGUUUACUGAUCAUUUGCUUUAUACUACACUUAUGCUAAGAACUAUGAAAGAUUCAGACAUUAAAAACAUAUAUACGGAAGGCAGACCGGAGCCGUUGGACUGGACAUGAUCCGAAGGGUCAGGGAGCGCGGGAUGCGAGUGUGGAGCUUGAAUUUCGGAGCGUGGCUAGCAGCUGGCAUGAUGGGUGGGGAGCAGGAGGAGGAUCGGUUCGACGGCAUGUUGCUGGCCAUGGCGCAGCAGCACGAGGGCGGCGUGCAGGAGCCGGUGAACACUUUCUUCAGCUUCCUUCGAUGCAAAACAGACUUCUUUGUUGGAGGAGAAGAAGGCAUGGCAGAAAAGCUUAUCACACAGACUUUCAACCACCACAACCAGCUGGCACAGAAGGCCCGGCGGGAGAAGCAAGCUCGGCAGGAGACUGAUCAGUGGGAGAAGGUGGAGCGGGCAGCCAGGUUGGCCACGGAGGCCAAGUCAGAGACCUCCGGGCCCCAGAUCAAGGAACUGACUAAGGAGGAGGUUGAGAGGCUACAGCUGGAAAUUGACCAGAAAAAGGACGCCAGCUCAAGAAAGGCAGUCUUGGCUCCCCAGGGAAGCAGGAGGCCAAGGAGGAGGAGGAGGAGGAUGAGAAGGACAAAGGGAAGCUGAAGCCCAACCUCGGCAACGGGGCAGACCUGCCCAGUUACCGCUGGACCUGGACCCUGUCGGAGCUGGACCUGGCCGUUCCGUUCUGCGUGAACUUCAGUCUGAAGGGGAAGGAUGUGGUGGUGGAUAUCUAGCGGAGGCAUCUCCGGGUGGGGCUCAAGGGACAGCCAGCGAUCAUGGAUGGGGAGCUCUACAAUGAGGUGAAGGUCGAGGAGAGCUCAUGGCUCAUCGAGGAUGGCAAGGUGGUGAUGGUGCAUCUGGAGAAGAUCAACAAGAUGGAGUGGUGGAGCCGCUUGGUAUCCAGUGACCCCGAGAUAAAUACUAAGAAGAUCAACCCCGAGAACUCCAAACUGUCAGACCUGGAUAGUGAGACCUGUAGCAUGGUGGAGAAGAUGAUGUAUGACCAGAGACAGAAGUCCAUGGGGCUGCCUACCUCGGAUGAGCAGAAGAAACAGGAGAUUCUGAAGAAGUUCAUGGGUCAGCAUCCAGAGAUGGACUUUUCCAAGCCCAGAUUCAACUAGCCACUGUGUUUGCUCCCCUGAACUCUCCAGGCUGAGCUCCUGGCUCCCCACUUUUCCUCUCCCACCCUCCCUGGGACUGGUGGGCUGCAGGGCCAGGGCAGGCACGGGUCUGGCCGGCACACACAGGUCCCAGGCCAUCAUGGGAGAAGGGCUGGGGCCUUGGAGGGUAUUGUCCUCCCCAGCUGGCCUGCUGUUACACAUUAAAACUAUUUACCC